UACGUAGGGGGCAAGCGUUGUCCGGAAUUAUUGGGCGUAAAGCGCGCGCAGGCGGUUCUUUAAGUCUGGUGUAUAAGUGCGGGGCUCAACCCCGUGAGGCACUGGAAACUGGGGAACUUGAGUGCAGAAGAGGAGAGCGGAAUUCCACGUGUAGCGGUGAAAUGCGUAGAGAUGUGGAGGAACACCGGUGGCGAAGGCGGGUCUCUGGGCCGGUAACUGACGCUGAGGAGCGAAAGCAUGGGGAGCGAACAGG
rnacentral:rRNA from 1 species